rnacentral:rRNA from 1 species
UACCAGCACCCCGAGUGGUCGGGACGAUUAUUGGGCCUAAAGCAUCCGUAGCCGGUCCUACAAGUCUUCCGUUAAAUCCAGCUGCUCAACAGAUGGGCUGCGGGGGAUACUACAGGGCUAGGAGGCGGGAGAGGCAAGCGGUACUUUAUGGGUAGGGGUAAAAUCCGUUGAUCCAUAGAAGACCACCAGUGGCGAAGGCGGCUUGCCAGAACGCGCUCGACGGUGAGGGAUGAAAGCUGGGGGAGCAAACCGG